GUUUUAAUAGUUUAAAUAAAACUUUGGUCUUGUAAACCAAAAAUAGGGUUACCUUUAAAACA
rnacentral:tRNA from 1 species